AACGAACGCUGGCGGCAUGCCUAACACAUGCAAGUCGAACGAGACCUUCGGGUCUAGUGGCGCACGGGUGCGUAACGCGUGGGAACCUGCCCUUAGGUUCGGAAUAACUCCCCGAAAGGGGUGCUAAUACCGGAUAAUGUCUUCGGACCAAAGAUUUAUCGCCUUUGGAUGGGCCCGCGUUGGAUUAGCUAGUUGGUAGGGUAAAAGCCUACCAAGGCGACGAUCCAUAGCUGGUCUGAGAGGAUGAUCAGCCACACUGGGACUGGGACACGGCCCAGACUCCUACGGGAGGGAGCCAGGGGGAAUAUUGGACAAUGGGCGAAAGCCUGAACCCGCAAAGCCCGGGGAAUGAUGAAGGCCUUGGGGUUGUAAAGCCCUUUUAACCGGGAAGAUAAUGACAGUACCGGGAGAAUAAGCCCCGGCUAACUCCGUG
rnacentral:rRNA from 1 species